rnacentral:rRNA from 1 species
UAGGGAAUCUUCGGCAAUGGACGAAAGUCUGACCGAGCAACGCCGCGUGAGUGAAGAAGGUUUUCGGAUCGUAAAACUCUGUUGUUAGAGAAGAACAAGGACGUUAGUAACUGAACGUCCCCUGACGGUAUCUAACCAGAAAGCCACGGCUAACUACGUGCCAGCAGCCGCGGUAAUACGUAGGUGGCAAGCGUUGUCCGGAUUUAUUGGGCGUAAAGCGAGCGCAGGCGGUUUCUUAAGUCUGAUGUGAAAGCCCCCGGCUCAACCGGGGAGGGUCAUUGGAAACUGGGAGACUUGAGUGCAGAAGAGGAGAGUGGAAUUCCAUGUGUAGCGGUGAAAUGCGUAGAUAUAUGGAGGCACACCAGUGGGGAAGGCGGCUCUCUGGUCUGUAACUGACGCUGAAGCUCGAUAGCGUGGGGAUCAAACAGG